rnacentral:lncRNA from 1 species
CUCCAUCUUCAGUUCAAAAUGACUUUUUACAUUUUCAGCAUCACACACCGAUUUGGCAAGAGAUGUCUUCCCCAAGCCUCCCAUUCCUACUAGCGGAAGGACAAAUGGAUGUGCAUCACCAACCUUAGAAGGUGCUGCUAAAAGGUUGAUUAUGCGUUCUUUGUCUUUGUCUCUUCCGAUAAGACCGGAAAAGCUUUCAAAGGAUCGGUUCAUCUCUGUUUCCUCAUGCAAGACAUGCCUACAAUCAAUAGGCUGCUCGCUGAGGUUGAACUCAGACUUAAGAGAUGAAAUCUCAGCUAGUCUUUCUAUGAUGCUCUUUAUCUNNNNNNNNNNNNNNNNNNNNNNNNNNNNNNNNNNNNNNNNNNNNNNNNNNNNNNNNNNNNNNNNNNNNNNNNNNNNNNNNNNNNNNNNNNNNNNNNNNNNNNNNNNNNNNNNNNNNNNNNNNNNNNNNNNNNNNNNUGCAUCAUACAAGACUUCUCUGAGCAUAUGGAGCCAGAGCCGAAUCCUCUCAUUCUUUGAUUGUUGCUUCUCAGCAUCGGACAGCACCACGUUGAUGGCUUUCAAUCUCUCUUCAAGACGUGCAAGGUCAUCUUCAAGUCCCCAUGCCAAACGAAGUUCUUGAACAGCAAAAGAGCCUAACUUCCCUAAAAGGGAUUUUGCAAUAUCGGCUGCAAAAGCUUCUGCCAUUUUCGUUUGAGUGAGGGGAGGAGUGUUUGAUAGGGAAAAAAUGAUUGAGAUAAGAGUGGAGUUCCGCUUUCUGAGUGGAGAGGAGAAGUCGUUGAGUCUUCUUAAUUAAAAUGUACAUUGGCUCCAUGGAUCGCUUGUUUAAUUGGUUGUUCUCUUUCUUUUCUUUUCUUCAUUAUAUUAGCGAUCCUUAAUUGUUUUUUGAGUAGUUGACCAAGAAGCUAUGAAUCCACCCUACGUGUUAUCUACUUAAUCCUCAAUUGUGAAGUUGAGGAGGGAAAAUAAUAUAUAAUAAAUUGAAUACAUUAUUAACUUAUUUGAUACAUUAUAUUUGAUAUCAAUUGAAAUUGUGGCUUGGAAAACAGGGAUAUAUGUUAAUAUCACUAAAAUGCAAAAUGCAAAAAUUGAAAUUGAAAUUGUGGCUUGGAAAACAGGGAUAUAUGUUAAUAUAUGUUAAUAUCACUAAAUUGAAAUUGUGGCCGCCCCACCCACAGUUUCCACAUUUCACACCGAGGAAUCACUAAAAUGCAAAAUCCACAUUCCCAGCGGCGGACGACCCUUGAUGCUUUGAAAAAAAUAUACAGCUCCAAAUUCUAUCUGACAAUCUCUACACUAUCAUAUAUUUGGGCCAACCACGCCAUGGUAUCAAAUUUAGGGAUUGUUUAUUUUUGUAUUUUCAAAGUAUUAUUAAUAAAAAUUAAAUAUAAAAUAAUAUAUAUCUGAUUUGGAAGAGUUUGAUGAAAAAAUAAAAUAUUAGAAUAAUACAAACUUUUUAAAAGUUCUGUUGAUUACUAACUGCAUAUAUCAAGUGAGCCCUUUUAUAAUCAAACUAUCAUUGGUAUUCUUUUUUGUUUUGUAAGUUUUUCAUAACCAGAUAUGUAAGUAUUUUCCUAGACGUAUUAUAAACGUAAAAUACACCAAUUCAAUAAUAAAUAAAAUAUACUAAAUUAGAAAAUUAAGAAAAAAACCAAUGAAAUAAAAGUUGAAAGCAAUUCAAUAUUUUUUCUUUUUAUGAAGUUAGCAUGAUUUGCGGGUUUGUCAAGGUAACUUGAAUUGAUCUAGGUCAACCCAAGUUAGCUUGCCAAAUUCAUGACCUGAAUCAUGAGACCAUAAUAACCUCAUAUAUAGCAAAUCAAAACAAAUUAUGAAGCUCAAUUCUCAAUCAACUCAAUAUUAAGGAAUGAAAUUGAAAAAAAAAGUAAUUGAAAAAUAAUAAAAAAUUUGACCUGAGUUAACCUGCUAAACUCGUGACUUAAGUUAGGAAAUCGAGAUAAUCUCACAGAAAGUAAGCAAAAAUAUAAUCUGAGUCAGCUCAAGUUAACCUUUCACGCCCUCUCAGGUUAAAGAAAAAUAAACUCGAGUCAACUAGGUUAACCCGCCAGACAUAUGACCCGAGUCAUGAGAUCGAGACAACCUUAUAGAAAACAAACUAAAAUAAAUCAUGAAGUCUAAUUCAUAAUCAACCCAAAGUUUAAUAGUGAAAUUGAGAAAAAAAAAUAUCAAUUAAAAAUAAAAAAAACUUGAGUCAAGCGAGUUAACUCGUUUCGAAAAAUGAAAUUAGAAGAAUAAAAAUAAUUAUAGAAAAAAAAUACUAUUAAAAUAAAUAGUGUUUUAUAAAGCUGUAUAGUAAAAACAUCAUCUUUUUUAGGCCCUGUUGAAGAGACUAAUUCGACCGGUUUUUCUAAAAUUUUGAAUAUUUUUUGAAAAAGAUUCAAAAUAAUAUUUUUAGUAUUUUAUAAAUAUUUUAAUGGGAAAAUAUAAAGAAAAAACAAUAUCUAAAAAUAUUUUUUUAAUUUUUUUUUUUUAAUUUUUUUUUUUAAAUACCCUACACCAAGAAAAAAAAACUGCCUUAUUUUCUGAUAUGUGUUUGAAUUAUUGUAUUUGGCAUGGACCCUUAUCUUUGACCAUUGAAAUUUAUUUUAAUUUUAAAAGUUCUUUUUGGUGGAAUUUGUGUGGUUUUACUAGUGCACUAAAUGCACCCAUUUCAAUAAAGGAGCUUAGCCGGUGCACUUCUUUGGCUUGGACCCACAUCUUUGACCAUUGUUUGCCCUUAUUUUAUUUCUACUUUAAAGGAGCCUGAAUUAAUUUAUUAAAUUCGUGAUUUGAAUCAGAAGAUUGAUAUCAUUUUAUAAAUAAUUAAUUUCUUAUUAUGACCAUUGUUUGCUUUUUUUUUUUUACUCUAAAGUUUGUGGAUGGGUCCGAAGAAUUUGGGUGAACCCCUAACUUUUGCAAAGAGAGCAAACAGUUGUUUUUUCGUCUUGUAGUGAGUUAAUUAUUGCCUACAAAUAAUUGUUUAGGGUGUUUUUUUAGUUUUGAAAAGUUGUUUAGAAAUGUAUUAAAAUAUUUUUUAUUUUUAAAAAAUUAUUUUUGAUAAAUAAUCUAAAAAUAUAAAAAAAUUCAUUUUAAAUAAAAAUAAAUCAAACACACUCUUAUUAGAAGUUCAUUAAAACUGCAGAGCAUAGUAAAUUCUGAGUAUUGAUAUGAAGAGGAAAAACGCCACACUCUUUAUUUUAUUCCGUAAUGUAAUUUUAACUUUGCAUUCAGAAAUUUUCAGCUAAAACACAAAUAUGUUAAUUCCAUGACUGCCAAUAAUUUUCACAAUCCCAAUUAGCACUGAUUAUUUUUUAUAAAAAUAAAUAAUUAAAUUAGUUUUUUUAAAAAAACCAAAAUCAAACCAAAACUAGUUCAAACUAAUUAAUUUUGAUUAUUUAAAAAAAAACCAGUUAAAACCAAUCAUGCCGUUCUAAAUAGUUGUUUGCUUGCAAUAUUUGUCGUUGUAAAUUAUGAAAUGGCUACUUGGAAUGCUAUUUGUGUGGAAGUGAGACUUUUUUUUAUUUAGGUGAUGGAGUAUUUAUAUAAUUGACUUCAUUGACUAAUCAGCAGGCAUCCUCCAUCGAACGUGUUGACAGGUUCAGCCUACAUCAUGAAACACAGGGACCUGCGUGGGUCCCUUCGCUUUUAUACAUGUAAAUGUACACAGUCACCCAUUAUUACAAAGAAAACCUAAAUGAAUGGGAAAAGUAUUGUACUGUUACAAUGUUUUUUUACUUUGGUUUUUUUUUAUAUAUGGUUUAUUUUCAUAUAUUUUACUUUUUUAUGAUUUUUUUAAAAUUAUUUUUACUGGUUUUAUUUCUUUAAUAUUGAGAUGGUUAAAAAUUUAAUUUUAUAAUUUUUUUUUUAUUUUUUCUAUGUAUGAGGUUAGCAUGGUUUGCGAGUUUGUCUAGAUAACACAGGUUGUCUUAUUUUUUUAUAGAUUUGGUGGGUUUUUUAUUCUAUUUUUACUUAUAUUAUUAAAAAAAUAGUUUUUUUAAAAAAACUAUGUUAUUAAACUUUAUAAAAUAAUAAAAAUUAAAAAAUUAGUGGGAAAUCAAACUAGAAUUAAGCCAGACUAGGCUUGUUUUCUCUUUAUAUAUUAUAAAUAUUAUUGGGGAUGAAGUUUCCUUUAAUUAUGAGAAUUAAGACUUAUCUAGUUAUUAAUUUCAAUAUGUCUUGUUAAUUUGAAUUAUAAAAAUUUAAACUUACAUAAAUUAAAUCAAAAUAAAUUAUGAAACUUAAAACUGAAUAAUGAAAUUGAAAAAAUUACUAAUUAAUAAAGAAAAAUAAACUCAAGUCAACUGGGUUACCUGACCAGAUUUAUGACCCGAAUCACAAGAUCGAGAUAACCUUAUAGAAAAUAAAUUUUAACUUAAGUUAAAUGGGUUAACUUCAUCAUGCUACUUGUAUUAUUAGCGACAAGUAGCUUGCUCCUUCUCCUCCCAGCUUCAGCUUUUAGUUUGUUUAGAAGGGACGAAUUGAUAUGUUAAGCACAAUUAUUUAAAUGAUCACACACAAUAUUUUAAAUAAGAUAAGUUGAAUAAAAUAAAGAGGCAAGCCAACAAUUCAGAACAACCAAAUGUUUAUCAAUUUAUUAAUGACAAAUUAUCACAUAUAGCUAGCCAAGAAAAUUACACAAAGCAGACACUCCGCAGACACUCCGAGCCUUCAGCUGAUCUUCGUAAGUAACAAACUAUUGUAGAAGAUCUAAUUUUUUACUCUAAAAAUCAAGUUGGCUCACAGGGAAGCAUGGAUAAACUAACCUGAAUUAAUCUAUUAAAUUCAGAUAAUUUUAUAAAUAAUUAAUUUCUUAUUAUGAGUGCAUUACAGCUGCGGAGCAUCUUUGACCAUUGCUUACCUCCUUUUUUUUUUUUUUGCUCAAAAUGGUUUGUGGGUGGGUAACAUGGGUUCGUAGAAUUUGGGUUAACCCCUAACUUUUGCAAAGACCAAAUAGAGCAAACAACUGUUUUUCGUCUUGUAGUGAGUUAAUUAUUGCCUACAAAUAAAUUUUAUAUCGUGUUUGAGAUUAGGGUAACGAUUUAGAAAAAUAUUAAAAUAUUUUUUUUAUUUUUUUAAAAUUAUUUUUAACAGCAUAACAAUCCAAAAACAUAAAAAAUCUUAUUUUAAGAUAAAAAAAUCAAACACACCCUUACUAUUAGUGCAUUAAAAGCAUGUCAAACAAAUUAUGAAGCUUAAUUCUCAAUCAACUCGAUCAAUAUUAAAGAAUGAAAUUGAAAAAAAAAUAAUCAAAAAAUAAUAAAAAAUUUGAUCCGAGUUAACCUGCUAAAUCCGUGACUUGGGUUAGGAGAUUGAGAUAAUCUCAUAGAAAGUAAGCAAAAAAAUAACUCGAGUCGGCUCUGGUUAACCUUCCAAACCUACUACCAAGGUUAUAAGACUGUGAUAAUCUUAUAGAGAGAAAAUUAAAAUAAAUUAUAAAGUUCAAUUUUCAAUAAGUCCAAUGUUUAAGGUUGAAAUUGAAAAGAAAAAAUGAAUCUAAAAACAAGACACAAUAAAACGACUUGAGUCUACUCGGGUUAUCCUGUAAAACACGUUACUUGAGUCACAAGACUGAGAUAACCUCAUAUAAAUCAAACCAAAAUAAAUUUUUAAAAAUAUUAUUUAAACAUAUUUUCAAAAAAAAAUUAAAAAAAUAUCCUACACCAGAAAAAAAAAAAAAAAACUGCCAAAUUUUCUGAUAUGUGCUUGAAUUAUUGUCUUUGGCACGGACCCUUAUCUUUGACCAUUGAAAUUUAUUUUAAUUUUAAAAGUUCUUUUUGGUGGAAUUUAUGUGCACCCAUUUCAUUAAAGGAGCUUAUGAUCGAACACUCAUUUUGAGCCAAUGAUCAUGCACUUGAAAUAAAAUAUAAUCUUGGAAGAAACAUUUUGAGAUCCACUCGCGAACAGAACGCAAGCCAGCAUCUUCCAUGUGCCAUCCACAAAUGCACGUUAGUUAUUUUUUUAAAAUAUUUUUUAGUUCAAUAUAUUUGAAAAUAAUAUAUUUUUUAUUCGUUAGAAAUAUCUUCAACAUCUACCCAUCUAGCACAUCUAUAAUAUAGAACAAUCAAUUUUAAUAAAACAUCUUUUGAAACGCAUUUGUCGCUGUGAAUUAGGAAUUGGCCACUUGGGAAUUGGGAUGCUAGUUGUCUGGGGAGUGAGACUUAUUUAUUUAUUUAUUUAGGUGAUGGAGUAUUUACCGUUGGAUGUGACCAUUGUUCUUCCCUAUGUGGACACCACCACAUGCCGGGUGCAUGCUUCUCUACAAAUAUGUUUUCUUUAAUUAAUUAAUUUAAAGAAAACUUGACGCCUUUUGUCGAUAAAAUACGUUUUAAGGGUGAGUAAAAUAUAUAUAUAUAUAUAUAUAUAUAUAUAUAUAUAUAUAUAUAUAUAUAUAUAUAUAUAUAUAUAUUUGCGAUGGUAAUGAAAUGAAAUGACUGACAAAUGACGAGUCGUUUUUGGAAAAUUGGUGGUUUUGAGAGCUUAUUGGAGCCAAUAAUGAUGCAUUUGAAAUAAAAUAUAAUCUUGGAAGAAACAUUUUGAGAUCCACUCCCGAACAUAACGCAAGCCAGCAUAUUUCAAAUAUGUUUGGGAUGGUGGUGUAAAUGUCUUUAAAAAUUUUAAUUUUUUUUAAUUAAAAUUUAAUAUGAUUUAUACGUUUUAAAUUGUUUUAAUAUACUGAUAUCAAAAAUAAUUUUAAAAAAAUAAAAAAUAUCAUUGACAUGCAUUUCAGCACAAAAAAUUAUUUGAAAAGCAACCGCUACCACACUGUCAAAUACCCUCAUGUGUCAUCUAAAAAAUUACAGUUAUUUUUUAAAAUAUUUUGUAUUUAAAUAUAUUUUAAAAUAAUAUUUUUUAUUUUUUAUAAAUAUUUUUUACACAUCUAAAAUAUAUAUAAAAAAAUAAAUAAAAAUAAAUAAAUUUUAAUAAAAAAUCUUUUGAAAGCAUUUGUCGCUGUGAAUUAUGAAUUGGCUGCUUGGGAAUUGGGAUGCUAGUUGUCUGGGGAGUGAGACUUUUUUUAUAUAAUUUAUUUAGGUGAUGGAGUAUUUACCGUUAGAUUUGACCAUUGUUAUUCCCUAUGUGGACACCACCACAUGCUGGGUGCAUGUUUCUCUGAAAAUAUGUUUUCUUUUGUCAAUAAGAUACGUAUAUUGGCUUCCUCCAGUAUAUUAUUUAGUCAACGUUUUUUAUCCAGUAUUAAAAGUUUUUUUUUGGUGGAAUUUAUGUGCUUUUACUAAAUGCACCCAUUUCAAUAAAGGAGCUUAGCCGGUGCACUUCUUUGACUUGGACCCACAUCUUUGACCAUUGUUUGCUUCUUCUAUCUUCUUUUACUCUAAAAAUCAAGUUGGCUCCCAGGUAGCAUGGAUAAACUAACCUAAAUUAACCUAUUAAAUUCAGAUAAUUUUAUAAAUAAUUAAUUUCUUAUUAUGAGUGCAUUACAGCUGCGGAGCAUCUUUGACCAUUGCUUGCCUCUUUUUUUUUUCACUCAAAAUGGUUUGUGGAUGGGUAACAUGGGUCCGCAGAAUUUGGGUGAACCCCUAACUUUUUCAAAGACCAAGUAGAACAAACAGCUGUUUUUUCGUCUUGUAGUGAGUUAAUUAUUACCUACAAAUAAAUUUUUAUUUAAAAGUAUGUUUGAGAUUGGAGUAAUUAUUUAAAAAUAUAUUAAAAUAAUAUUUUUUAUUUUUUAAAUUAUUUUUAACAGCAUAUCAAAGAUAAUCCAAAAACAUCAAAAAUCUCAUUUUAAGAUAAAAAAUGUCUGGGGAGUGAGACUUUUUAUUUAUUUAGGUGAUGGAGUAUUUACCGUUGGAUUUGACCAUUGUUUUUCCCUAUGUGGACACCACCACAUGCUGGGUGCAUGCUUCUCUAAAAAUAUGUUUUCUUUAAUUAAUUAAUUUAAAGAAAACUUAGACGCCUUUUGUCAAUAAAAUACGUUUUAGAGGGAUUAAAAAAAAUAAAAAAACUAAUUAAAUUGAGAAAAUAAAAAAAAUCAAACCAUAAAAAAAAACCAAUUAAACUAGUUAGAAUUUAAAAAAAACCGACAGAUUUAGUUUCAGUUUUAUAAACAUAAAAUUAAAAAAACAAGAAAAAUACUUGAGUUAAAAAAAAAAACCGAGUAAAACCCUUUACUUUAUUCCUUAAUGUAAUUUUAACUUUGCAUACAGAAAUUUGCAGCUAAAACACGAAUACGUUAAUCCCAUGACUGCCCACAGUUUUCACAUUACACACGGCGUAAUCACUAAAAACCACAUUCCCAGUAAUUCUAAAUCCUUAACAUAUACUAAAGUCUUUUGAGACAAGUAAAUAUGAAACACAUGCCAUCUUUAAGCAUGUUGUGUGAAAUGUACUUCAUGAAUUGCUUGUUUAAAAGGCUGUUUUCUUUUUCAUAAUAUUAGCGAUUUAAUCCUUAUUUGUUUCUGUGUAAGUGGCCAAAUAAGGCAGAUACUGCUUUGAAGUUCUAUAUAUAUAGGAAUUGAGGAUCGGUUUUAGCUCGCUUGCUACUAUGACAGUCUAGUUCUUAUGAACACGGUUCUAUAUGGUCCUUCCAUUUCUGAAUCAUUUAUAGCAUUAAUUUUACUACUCUUCUCAAGGAACCAUAAUUCCACCCGAAUUUCAAGCUGCUGAAGAGGGAAAAUGUUGUUUAACAAAUUAAGUACAUUCUUAAUUUAUUUGAUUAUUUUUACUACGUAACAUAACCGUAUAAAAAAGGUAUCUUGAAAUGGGAUUAUGGGCUGUGGAAUGUUAAAAAGCACAAUUAGUAAGGACGCAAAUGAGCAAAAAGAAAACGAUUAUUUGUGAGGAUGUGCUGUCGCGCAUGGAAUUCGAGUAACAGGUGCGUGGUGAUGAGAGAAUUAAGAGUUAUCGUUAGAACCCAGUCAGGUAAGAAUUUUAUACACCCAGGAAUCAUAAAACCUCAGUUCCCUGGUUAAUUAUGGAAUUGCUUAGAUGGUGUUAUACUGUAGCAACUUCUCAAACAGGCACCGGAGAAUCAAGAAAAUGAUACGACUCCAGACCACCAGUCCCUGUACCAUUCUACAUCAUUUAGAAGACUUCAAUGGCCACCCCCAUCACAAUGCAUGUGCUUCUGCACUUUGUUGCUGGUAAUUUCUCCAAUGUAUCUGAUCACUUGAAGAAAUAAUAGUAAUUGAAAUAUGGAGAAUGCAUGCAAUGAAGAAGUUACACGAGUUCUUCAUGUAUCUAUCAAGGAGAUCAAGAACACAUAAAAUAACCAAAGGAAUACACAGACCAAGUUCUGAAGAAAUAGUCUCUCUGAAUUCUGUUAUCAGCCUGUUAAAUCUGUAAUCAGGGAAAAGUUGUGGAAAGAAAAUAAGAGCAAAACAUAACUCUAAGCCAGUGGAUCACUCAUCAAAAUCAAAAGAAGGCAAUUUAAUUAGAAAGGGAACACAUGAGAUAUGCACAAAAACAAUCAGGAGAAUAAAUUGUUGUCCAAUGAGAGAAAGAAGACGCGUGUAUUCUUCAAAACCUGUUGAAUGUUAUGAUCAUAUCCUAAAAAGAACAUCCCUUUGUAGGGCUUUUACGUCAGAGGGCUAGAACAUAUACUGCAAUUUUAUCAGCAUUAGUUCUUCUUUCUGUGCAUAAUCAUGUGAUUUACCAUCCACAAACUAACUUCACAAAAAGAUGGUGCCAACAGAAUGCAACAGAGAAAUAAUUAAAAUUGUUAAGAUAAUGUUAUCACAUACUCAUGCAACAGAUUUUGGGAUAAGUAACAUAAUGGCUAUGUCGAUCUUCAUCUGGAUUUCUAACCCAGGGUAGUAGUACUGUACCUACAUGCAGAAAAAAAUAAGCAUGUAACUUUCAAGUACAUCUAUCACAAGCAUCCAUGAAGUUCUGAAAACAAGAAAAUUUUCUAACAUAUAUAAAGAAGGUAUGGGAAGGGGAUGUUUCACAUUCAUCAGAGAACAUCACAAAGAUUCUCCUAAUGCAAUCAUCGACUUUAUUGGAAGAAUCAAAUCACUGAAAUAUCGAGCUUCUUCUAUGCAGAUUAGGAUUUGGAAGCAAGAUCCAACAUAUCUAAUAUAAAACUGUAUGGCAAAAAGUUUACUUUUCGGAAGGGAAAUAAAAACAGAUGAAGGAAAGACAGAGAGGAAGAAUCCCGGCAUUCAGUCACAUGCAGCUAUAUAAUAUUGGAAGGUAAGCAAAGAUUCAACAAACGUAAAUACACAAAAUUUGAAACAAGUUAUGAAAGGAUCGAUAGCCUAAAUGCAUUGCAUCAUCAACAGUUCAAAACUCUCUUAAACUUCCUAAUUUAAUUCACAAAAAUCAUCUAGUUGCUAUUACAAAACCCAGACCAUAAUAAUAAGUGACACCGCACCAACCAACCUUGACUGCUACUGCUUGACGAUCUUUCAACAUUGCAAGAUGCCCCUAGGGCAAACGACGCAGCAGCUGUCAUUUACAUAAAAAAAAUCCAUAAUUCAACAACAAAUUUUCACCUUCAACAUCUCAGAAAAGAAAAACAAAGAAAAUACAGAACCGAAACAUAAAUCUCCGUUAAACAUCAACCCAAAUUGCUUUCAAGAACUUAUUUUAUAUCGUUGAAACUACUAGGAACUGCCUUCAUUAUACCUAACCGAAAAAAAUUAGCCUACGAAACAGACAUAAAUUCUUCGAAAUCGAAAAUAAACAAACGUGCACAAGCAAAUAAAAAAUAAUUGCCCAGCUUUCACAUAAAAUCCUUCAUUUUCUACAUAAUUUCAAUACCCUCUUUGCCGAUUUAAUUAAUUAGAUACACUCAAAAUCAAAACUUUAAUUUAUUCACUAAAUCACAAAUUAACACAUAAAUUAAAAUAAUAAACUUUAAUUUAUUCACUAAAUCACAAAUUAACACACAAAUUAAUGAGAUAACCUCAUAUAAAUCAAACAAAAAUAAAUCUUGAAGCUUAAUUCAUAAUUAUCAAAAUAAAUCAUGAAACCUAAUUCAUAAUUGAUUCAAAGUUGAAUGAUGAAAUUAAAAAACAAUUACCAACUAAUAAAGAAAAAUAAACUCGAGUCAACUGGGUUAACCCGCAUACUUAUGACCCGAGUCAUGAGAUUGAGACAAUCUCAUAGAAAACAAACUAAAAUAAAUUAUGAAAUCUAAUUCAUAAUCAACCCAAAGUUAAAUGGUGAAAUUGAGAAAAAAAAUAUCAAUUAAAAAAAAACUUGAGUCAACCGAGUUAACUCGUUCUGAAGUAUGAAAUUAGAAAAAGAAAAAUAAUUAUAGAAAAAAAGCAAAAACAAAUUAUAAGACUGUAUAGUUAAAGCAUCUUUUUUUAAAGUCUUGUUGAGGAGAGCAAUUGAACAGUAUUUUUCUAAAAUUUUGAAUAUUUUUUUAAAAAAGGAUUCAAAACAAUAUAUUUAGUAUUUUAUAAAUAUUUUAAUGGCAAAUAUAAAGAAAAAAUGGUAUUUAAAAAUAUUAUUUUAACAUAUUAGAAAAAAAAACUUGAAUCAACCGAGUCAAGUUGUUUUGAAGUAUGAACUUUGGAGAAAGAAAAUAAUUAUAGAAAAAAAAACUAUUAAAAUGAAUAGCAUUUUAUAAGGCUGUAUAGUAAAAUCAUUAUCUUUUUUAAGCCUUGUUGAGGAGAGUAAUUCAACCGGUAUUUCCAAAAUUUUGAGUAUUUUUUGAAAAAAGAUUGAAAAUAAUAUUUUUAGUAUUUUAUAAAUAUUUUAAUGAGCAAAUAUAAAGAAAAAACAAUAUUUAAAUAUAUUUUCAUUUUUUUAAAAAAAAUACCCUACACCAAAAAUAAAAAAAAAACACUGCCUUAUUUUCUGAUAUGUGUUUGAAUUAUUGUCUUUGGCCAUUGAAAUGUAUUUUAAUUUUAAAAGUUCUUUUUGGUGGAAUUUAUGUGCGUUUACUAAAUGCACCCAUUUCAUUAAACGAGCUUAGCCGGUGCACUCCUUCGGCUUGGACCCGCAUCUUUUUAUUUUUUCACUCAAAAUGGUUUGUGGAUGGGUUCGUACUUCGUAGAAUAUGGGUAACCCCAUACCUUUUGCAAAGACCUAAUAGAGCAAACAGUUGUUUUUUUUCCGUGAUGAGUGAGUUAAUUAUUAGGAUAGAAUAAUAUAUAAAUUAUAUUUCGAGGUUUUAUCUAAUAAUUUAAAUUAUUGAAUUAAAAUAAUUUUUUGAUAUGGUAUUAGAAUUUUGUUGACCAAAUAAUUACGAUGUUAUUUUUUUAUUUAUUUAAUAAAAAUUAAAUAUAAAAUAAUAUAAAACUUGAUUUGAAAAAGUUUGAUAAAAAAAUAAAAUAUUGGAAUCAAGGACAGACAAAUAUUUUAAUAGUUUGGAAAAUUGGUGGUUUUGAGAGCUUAUUAUUCAAUGUAUUUAAAAAGAACAUUUUGAGAUCAACGCACGCACCUAACGCAAGCCAGCAUGUUCCAAGCUGUCAUUUGGACUCUGAUUGAAUGAGUCCACGUGACAUUCAAAAUUAUUUUUUAAAAAAGUUUUUUUAUUUAAAAAUAUAUUAAAACAAUAUUUUUAUUUUUUAAAAUUUAUUUUACAUCAACACAUACGCAAUUCAAACAACAUCUUAAAAAAACUCAAUCUCUCGAACUAGAAAGGCUCAAGAGCUUACAGGCCUCUAAUGUCUGUAUAUGUGUGUGUGUUUCAUCGUCCAAAGAGCAUUGCAAUAAGGCCACUUGCUAAAUCAAGUCAAAUUUAAUAAUUACAGCACAAAGGAACUCUUUCGAUCUUUGAUUCAUAAAAUAACUUGGAGUCCAUGUGCUUUGAUUUUGUCGAGGAUUCUCCCAUCUAUUUCAUGCUUCCUCACUUCGAGACCAACUGACCAAGUGUUUUAGUUCAAGAGUUUUUAAUUAAACGUUGGAAACCUACUUCAAAACAUUGCAUGAUAGUAAGCAAAAUUUAUUUUUUUUAGUUUAAUGUGACCAGCUUACAUGCACCUUAAUUAAUUCCACGCAAACUCAUCAUUUAGAUUAUAAAUUAAAAUAACUUUAUAAAAAAUAAAUUAUAAAAAAUUAAAAUAAUCAAUUUAAAUUAUCCUAUCAAACUCUCGAGUCAUGAAAUUAAAAUAAUUUUAUAUGAAAUAAAUUAAAAUAAACAUUGAAGCAUACUCAUUAUUAAGAAAUGAAAUUAAAGAAAAAAAUAAUUUAAAAAUUAGGCUUAUGUAUUUGUUAAAACUCAUUUGGGGAUCUUGGAAAUGGCUUCCUCGUAAAUCUUGGAAGAAACAUUUUGAGAUCAGCUCGCGCACAUAACGCAAGCCAGCAUGUUCCAAGCUGUAAUUUGGACUUUGAUUGAAUGAGUUCAUGUGCCAUUUAAAAUUAUACUAGGGUAUUUUUUAAAAUAUUUUUUUAUUUAAAAAUAUAUUAAAAUAAUUUUUUUAUUUUAAAAAAAUAGUUUUUACAUCAACUCAUUAAAUAAAAUAAUAAAACAAAAAAUUAAUGUUAAGCAAAAAAUUUAAUUUUAAUAAAACAUUUUUUGAAACGCAACUCAACCAAUAUCCUAGAAGUAGUAAUCUUUUGAAAAAAUGAAACAACAAAGAAGGCAUCUUUUCAAGACCUUGCAUAUCUUCGCACAAAUUUUCUAGAUUUUCACCUCAUAGAUGAGUAAAGCUUGAAGAAAUUUCAAGCAACCAAUCCCACCUUUUGGCAAACGCUUCUGCUUAGUAACUAGAAAUAAAUAUCCAAGGCUGAUCAUUAUAAUAAAAAUUAUAAGUAACAAAUAAUAUAAAUGGUUAGGGAUUGAAAGUUUAUAAUUUGAAAAGUUAGAGAAUUAAACUAUACGUUUAGCCUCAAGUUUAAAAAACUCAUUUUUUUUGCCAUGCUUUUCAUGUUAGUCUCAUAUCUUUGAAUCUUGCACUUCCUUAGUAAAUGAACUUAAAUUGGCCAUUAAUUUUAGCCUAUAAGGAUAAUAAUAAAAAAAGAAGAAGAAGAAGAGCGACCAAAAACAAAGAAAAAUUAUUGUGGCAAUCCAUUAUAAUAAAGAAGGUUGUCAUACCGUUGAAACAGGGCUUCGCCGCCUACAAUAGGAGAUGGUCCCGACUCAUUACCAUGGAAGUCAAAAAAUUUCUAUUUAAUUAGGCGUAGGGUCAAAGGGAGGAGUGUUAACCUGCCCUCCCUUCGCCGCCUACAAAGAAAGGCCCAUUGGUCGAUUGGUUAAGUCUUCGUUCCUCUUUUUUCUAAAGUUCUUAAGACGGUUAGAUUUUUUAGGUAAUAAUAACAGGGUAUUUUGAAUUGGAAAGGGCAGAAGGUACUGUAAUCUAUUUUAGAACCCCGUGGGAAACCGACACAAGUAAACCAGCGGGAAAGGAAAAGCUAUCAAUCACAAUAGGCGCAGGAGAUCAAGUCUUAAGUCUAGCAUUACUUUAGUUCAAGAGUGAAUAAGGAAGUGCAAGGCUAGCUGGCAGCUGUCUGAUGAGUUCAUCGCUCUCUAUGGCCAUUUGUCUUUAAGCUUUAGGCUAGUUAGAAAGGUUAUGACAUGUGGAUCCGGACUCAGAGGAUUAUGCCGCCUGGCCCCUAAAACACAACUAAGGACGAUAGUGGGUGCCCAAGAGGAGGCGAAGUCCUUUGAAAGCGAAAAGUCUUGUGUCCAGAGGGACGGCGAGGAGCAAUCAACAUCUUAAAGCAAGCAAGCAAGCUCCGGGCGAGGCAAGCAAUCAAGGUUCCAAUUACCUUCCGCGUUCACUUCAGAUAUUAAGGAAAAAGAUGUGGGCCACUCAAUAGCGUGCUCAAUAUAAGCGGAUCAUCCAAGAACCAAUGAUCCAGCCAGAACGACGUGUUAUGCCCAUCGCCUAUGAGGUAUUUGCAAUUCAGCAUCAAAGAAUAUUAGAGCCGUUAGUAGCUCCCGGCUUCGAAAGAGCAAGGAUGGCAAGACAUACUUUUGUCUAAAUCAUUUUUGAGUUCAUACGCAGUCGAAACAUCAUAGAAUUAGCUAAUCCCAAGACCAACUUCAUCUAUGGGAAGAGUUCAUAUACAGCUCCAAAUUUUUUCUGACAAUCACUACCACUAUCAAAUGGAUAUCUAUAUAUCCAUUUGAUCCAUCUGUUUAAUUCAGCCCUGAUAAAUACAACAAAAUUUGAAACAAGUUACGAAAGGAUCGACAGCCUAAAUGCAUUGCAUCAUCAAUCAACAGUUCAAAACACUCUUAAACUUCCUAAUUUAAUUCACAAAAAUCAUCUAAUUUUAUUUUUUUACCAGGAUAUCCAAACCAGUUUAUGUACAUCUUGACUAAAUCUUCAAACUCUUAUGCCCGUACCCAUAGAAAUUUUCCAUACAAAAACAUGGUAAAUCAUUGAUUUUUUACAUCAGAGGCAAUGGCCCAAGAAAAUAUAUUCAGUGAAAUUUAAGCCCUAAACCUAUGAGGGAGUAUAUCUCUUAAGCUCAAUAUCCUUACCACUAGACUAACCCCUUAAUGAAAAAAAUAAAUCUUCUAAUUGCUAUAACAAAACCCAAAUCAUAAUUUCUUCUUUUAACAUUGUUUGUUUUUGUGUUUCAAAAAUAUUUUUAGAAAAAAUUAAUAUUUUUUUUUUACUUUAAAUUAAUACUUUUUGGUACUUUCAUAUCAUUUUAAUAUGCUAAUGUCAAAAAUAAUUUUUUUAAAAAUAAAAAAUAUAUUAUUUUGAAACAUUUCUUAUUGAAAAACAUUUUAAAAAGCAACUGCAACUUUCUUGACGAUCUUUCAACAUUGCAAGGUGCCCCUGGGUUAGUUAAAAUUAUUUUUUUGUAAAAUUUGACCACAUACUUGUUGUUACCCAAAAUUAACAUCCAUCAAUAUAAGUAAUUAAUGUAAUAACACAAUUUUUAUUUAUAUUUUUUACAUAAAUACUUUUAUUAACUUUAUUGAUUUUAAACUUAUUUAACAAUAUUAUAUUAUCAAACUUUUCAUGUAAUUAUUUAAAAGCUUGUUUCAAACUACAUAAUAACUUCACAAGUUUAAAAUCUUUUUUUUUUAUUUUCUUUAACAACAAACCUCUUGCGUUGUUUUAUAAAUACCUCUCCGUCAAAAUCACCAUUUAAAAAACUAUUUUUCCAUAAAUUUAAUGUAUUCCUAAGUUGUUAAUAAUUGUAAUAACUAGUAAGAUACAUCAUAAAAGUUAUUAUGAACAUAGAUAAGUAUGUAGUAAAAUAAUAUUUUUUUGUUGUUGUCUGAAAUCUUUAACAAUAAAUCUUGUUUUGUAUUUUUGGAUGGUUCUAUUAGCUUUCAGUUUUCUCUUGAAGAUAUAUUUAUAGCCUUGAAUGAAUAUUUGGACGGUGAGUAUAGAUCUUUAAUCUAUAGUUUGAUGAGACCACCUAAGCUAUUUUUCUUUGAUUUCUUAUGUGAAUGAAUUUUUUAUAUCUUUUAUAAGGGAAAAUGUCUUCAAAAAGUGUACAUUCAUGUUCAAUACUUGAUUUAUAUAUAUAAAAGAAAUCCAUAUACACUAUCAACGAAUACACAAUCCACUCCAGAGUUAGAAACGAUAAGCUCAGUUUGGCAGUCAUAGAGCCUGUCGAAGCAGAGAAGCUGGUUAAAGUUUGUGCCUUUAACUGGUGGAUAGUUGGGAUUGUUGAUAGAUUCUCCAUCAAAGAUUUUGAGUGCUAAAAACAAGAAGGUUGAGGGGGUAAAGAGAAGUGCUGUUUCAGUGAAGGUGAAGAUGGCAGAGAAUGUCCAUUUCUUGGAAAGAAUGAUAGUUGAGAUAAGGCAAAUAUGUGUGUAGGGGAAUAGCUUUAAAUCUUGGCCUAGAAACAUCCCAUGGCCUAGAAGCAAGGAAAAUGACAUGAACGAAACAAAAAGGAGCUCUCCUUGUCUUUUGCACAAGGAAUAUCUGGAUAGUGAUGAUUCAAAUUCAAGUCACUAAUGCUAAAUUAAAGCUUGAUAACGAUGAUUAGAUAAAUUUAAGCUGCUUGUUGCUGGUGGCACAUAGUUUAGAAAAAGGAAAAUCGGACAAAUGAAAUUUUUCAAAACAGAGCUCACAACACCACCCCUACCUCCUCUGCAAGCUGCAAGCUGGUUUCGUUUAAUAUUUUAGCUAUAAAAUCCAGUAUGACGAAAACCAGGUCUGAGUAAAUAUAUUACAAAUGGAAGAGCACCAUAUACAGCUCCAAAUUCUAUAUGACAAUCUCUACCACUAUGGUAUCAAAUCUAAAAACUGUUUGUUUUUAUGUUUUAAAAAUGUUAUUGAAGUAUCAGAGUUUACUGGUAGGUUAUGAAGAGAGAAUUUGCAAUCCACGACGGUUGAUGCAAUCUGUCAGCAAAAGUGAAAAUGAUUAAAACAUGGUUAAGUAAUUAUUAGCUUAGAGAAAGAGCGAGGGGAGGUUUUUACCGACGGUGGAGAUUGUGCAAGAAGAGGAAGGCGUGUAUUGGAGAGACGAAUUUGUUAGGGAAGGAGUCGGGGUGGUUGUGGUGGUAUAGAUAGUGAAGGCGGCGCUGCUAGUGGUUGCUGUUAGUGUUUAAAGUUCGGUUUUUCUGGUUAAAGGAAGCUAGAAGUUUUGUUUGAGGGUCAUUUUAUUUUGCAAGAAGAUGGCGGUGGCUGUGGUUGUGUCGAUGAGUUACUUGUUUUGACGGCGAGGUACACGGUGGUAAUGUUUGUUUGAAAAAAAAAAUGAAAAAACAGUUUUUCAAAAAUUGGUUAGGAUCAAGGGGUGGUUUUGGAGUGUGUUAGGUAUUUUUACUUAAAAUAUAUUAAAAUAUUUUUUUAUUUUUUUAAAAAUAUUUUUAACAGUUACAUAUUAAAAAAAUUAAAAAUAAAAAAAUAAUUAAUUUAAGCAAAGAAAUUUCAAAAUUUAAUGGAAAACAGUGUACAAAUUUAUAAACUUUUAAUAUGUUAUUGGAUGUCUCUUCGUUAAGAUCUUUGAAACUCAUGAAUGAGACAUUGCAGUAAGUUUGAGAUUCUUGAUGACUGUUGUAUUAUUAGAAACAAUUAGCAUAAUUAUUUAAAUAAUUCAGAACAACCAAAUGUUUAUCAAUUUAUUAAUGACAAAUCAUCACACACAAUUAGCCAAGAAAAUUACACAAAGCAGACACUCCGAGCCUUCAGCUGAUCUUAGCAAGAGACCAACUGUCGUAGAAGAUCUUGGCCGACUUAGACAAACAUAGAAUUUAAUAAUGAUGUAUUAAGUUAUGUAUUAAGUUCAACAACGAGGGAGCAAAUGAACUGAUUGGCAACCAUUAUGAACAAAUGAAAAGCCAAGUAGAUUGUCAGCAAAUUGAAGUCCCCGAAUUAUAACCCCAACGAAAGCUGAAGAAAAUUAGACAAACAUAGAAUUUAAUAAUGAUGUAUUAAGUUCAAAGAAAUUUAAAUUGCUGAAUGAAUUAGUCAACUUUGCAUUUUAUCAUGACAUACCUUGUCUUCUUCUCUUGCUUAUGGAGUUCCACUUGAACCUGCCUCUCCAAAACACAAGAGCUUUUGUCAGUUUUUUUUUUUUUCAAAGCUAAUAUUGUUUUCAGGGAAAAUAAUUUAAACGAAAAAAGGAAUUGAAGAAUGGAUAAAAAUGUAAAACUAAAUAUGAUAGAUUUAAAUAUGGUUUGCUGCUGCUACCUGCAUGAGAUGUCUCUUCACCACUGUUAUCACUGUCAACCUUGAUUUUAGGGAUAUAUUUGAUCUUGGGCCAAUCUGUCAACCUUGAUUUUACGGAUAUGUUUGAUCUUGGGCCAAUCUUCUCCUGUUACUCUUCGGCACCUUUUGCUCAAACUUGGACAGUCUUUGAUCUCAAGAUUUUGAAGUUUAUUUAAAUUGCCGAUGCAAUCUGGCAUUUCUUCAAUGUUUGGACAAUCUCUAAUGAUAAAUGUUUGUAAGGAUUCUGUAGAUCCUUGAAAAAGUUGUUCUGGUAAAGCAAUAGUUGAUGGUAAGUUGUCAAAUAUUACAAUACAAAGGGAAAGGGAAAGAGGUAGAAUUGUUUCCCUUUUUUUUUUUCUAUUAUCAUUAAAUCAAGCCUUUUACAUUCAUUAAUAUAAAAUUCUUCUAGAGUAGUUAGGCAUUUUAUACUUCGUGGAAGAGAAAUCAAGCUAUUACAUUCAACAAUAAGCAAUUUUCGAAGCCUUCUAAGACCUUGCAUAUCUUCGCACAAAUUUUCUAGAUUUUCACAAUUAAAGAUGAUUAAAGUUUGAAGACACUCCAAACACCCAAUCCCAACCAAAUUUGGAUGGAACCAAAUUUGCUUGCAUUUCUCCACUAUUUCUUUCCCGAUUCCAACCAAAUUUGGAUGGAACUUCUUUUGCCCUUCCUUCCAUCUUUUGUUUUUUUUUUAUUUUACUGCGAAUGUUUGGGUUAGUUUACGCGUAUUUCGACUAAUCUCUCAAGACCUUAAAAUUAAUAAUCAUGUAAGUUUCAGUAGCUCUGAGGUUUGUAGUAUUUGGUAACCUCUGAGGAGCAAAUUUAGGGUUUAAUCAGUUAAAUUAUAUCUUUCAGGUUGUAAAACAACGAAAAUCAAUGCUGUUAAUUUUAUUUUUUUUAAAUACAUUUACAAUGCUUUGUCAUUAUUAUUUUUACGCUUUAAAAAAAAUCAUGUUGGCUUACAGCGAAGCAUGGACAAACUUUUUAAAAGUUCUGUUGAUUACUAACUACAUAUUUAUCAAGGGAACCUUUUAUAAUCAAACUAUCAUUUUUUCUUUUUUGUUUUGUAAGUUUUUCAUAAACGUAAAAUACAACAAUUCGAUCAAUAAUAAAUUAAAUAUUCUAAAUUAGAAAAUUAAGAAAAAAAACCAUGAAAUAAAAGUUGAAAGCAAAUUGACGCAGCAGGCAACACAGAGAUUGUACGUAACUUCUAAAUAGUUGUUUGCUUGCAAUAUUUGUCGUUGUAAAUUAUGAAAUGGCUGCUUGGGAUGCUAUUUGUGUGGGGAAGUGAGACUUUUUUUAUUUAGGUGAUGGAGUAUUCAUAUAAUUGGCUAAUCAGCAGGCAUCCACCAUCUUUUAAAUAUAUUUUUGUUGAUUUUAUUUUUUAAAUUAACAUUGUUAAGAAUUUAGCUUUAUAAUUUAUUUUAUUUUUAUUUUUUUAUAUGAUGUUAACGUGGUUUACAAGUUUGAUGGGUUGUUUUUUUUUUUAAUUGAAUUUAACUUUUUUUAUAGUCUAUUUUUUUCUCAUAUGGUUAAAAAAUAGUCUUAGAGAAAAGUUAUGUUAUUAAAUUUUAUAAAGUAACAAAAAUUAAAGGAUGUGAGGAAACCGUUAUUCACCCACACGCAUUGCACUGUAAAUGACAAUAGUAAACCACGGUGUUUUGCUUUCUUUCCUUUUUUUUUAUGUUUUUGAAUUUGUGUCAUGAUUGUUUUUUUAAAUUUGUUUUUAUCGAUUUUAUCUUUUAAUAUUGAGAUGUUUAAGAAUUUGGUUUCAUAAUUUGUUUCCUUUUAUUUUACCUUUCUAUAAGAUUAGCAUGGUUUGCGGGUUUGCAAGGGUAACCCUAGUUGCCUUGAUUUAUGAGUUUGGUGGAGUGUUUUUUUUUUUUUAAUUGAACUUAAGUUUUUUUAUCAUCUAUUUUCUUCUCAUAUAGUUAAGAGAAAAAGUUUCAGAAAAAAGUUAUGUUAUUAAACUUUAUAAAGUCUGUGGGUCUAUUCACAGGUUUGGUUGAUUAACUUGGUUCGCGGGUCUAGCAAGUUUAACUUUUUUAAAUUAGUUUUUUUUUCAUCCUUAGAUACUAAAUUAAUUGGGAAUUUAGUUUCAUAAUUGGUUUUGUUUUGCCUUUUAUGAGGUUAUCGUAAUCUAAAAAACAUCUCAUUAUUAGGAUUGUGUUUGAUUUUAUAAUCAUCUAUUUUUUUUAUUUGUAUAGUUAAAUAAAAAAUAGAUUGCAAUUUUUUUUAUAAUCCUAGUGGAGUCCAUAACUCAAUUCACAAGUUUGACGUACUAACCUGGCUUACCCGAUUCAUAGAUUUGACAAAUUUACCCACCGAUAUGAUAUUUUUUUUGUUUUUAGUCUUUUAAUUUAUUUUUUCUCAGUUUUAUUAUUUAAUAUUAGAUUGGUUGAGAAAUGUACUGUAUUAUUGAUUUUUGUUUGCUUUCUAAAGAUAAUUAUUUUAAAUAAAUAUUUAUUUUUAGAUUAAUAUUUAAUUUUAUAACCAUCUGUUUUCUAAUAUGUGUAUGAAUUAUUGUCUUUGGCAUGUACCCUUAUCUUUGACCAUUGAAAUGUAUUUUAAUUUUAAAAGUUCUUUUUGGUGGAAUUUACGUGUUUUUACUAAAUGCACCCAUUUCAUUAAAGGAGCUUAGCCGGUGCACUUCCUAACUUUUGCAAAGACCAAACAGAGCAAACAGUUGUUUUUUCGUCAAUUAUUGCCUACAAAUCAAUUUCUUAUUAUGAGUGCAUUACAGCUGCGUAGCAUAGUAAUAACUUGUUUAUUUUUGUAUUUUAAAUGUUUGUUUUAGAAAUUUUAAUUUUUUAAAAUUUAUUUUACUUUAAAUUAAAUUUGUCUUUUUUUUUUAAUGUACUGAUAUGAAUUAAUUUUUUUUAAUUUUUUAUAUCAUUUUAAUUUAAAUUAAAUUAGGGUGGAACCAUAAUUCCACCCUUGAUGUUAUUACUUAAUCUUUAUUUAUAUACAAAAAUCUCAAGCUGCUGAUUAGGGAAAAUAUUGUUUAACAACUCAAUUACGUUGUUAACUUAUUUGAUUAUUAAGGCAUAUUUAUUUUUGUAUUUUAAAAGUAUUUUUAAAAAUAUUUGAAAAUUUUUUAUUUUUUUUGUUUGAAAUUAAUAUUUUCUGAUAUUUUCUGAUUAUUUUAAUAUACUAAUAUCAAAAUAAUAUUUUAAUAUAUUAAAAAAAAAACGCUUAAAAAAAUAAUCAGACUGUUAUACUCUCAANNNNNNNNNNNNNNNNNNNNNNNNNNNNNNNNNNNNNNNNNNNNNNNNNNNNNNNNNNNNNNNNNNNNNNNNNNNNNNNNNNNNNNNNNNNNNNNNNNNNNNNNNNNNNNNNNNNNNNNNNNNNNNAUGGCCCGAACUAGUCCUAAAAUAUUUUCUUUUGAGCAUGGCCAGGAAAAAAAAAAUCAAAUAAAAAAACAAUAAAAAUUAUCCUUUACUUUGUGGUGAUUGAAGGAACGAAUGUAUGAUGGUCAUCAAAUCUUUUACUUUGAAAAAAUUCUUCUUAAGAAUCUAUCCUUUACUUCGAACUUCCUAAGCAGUAAGCACAAUAGCAUAAACAACCCUAGUAGAAAAGCAAGCGAUGUCUUUCUCAGAAUAUAAGAUGCAUCAGAGAUCAAAGAUGAUCAUGUUCUAUCCUAUCUUGCGUACUUUCUCAGGAGUUUUCAAUUAUGAUUGUAAGGGGCGGAGCAAAAAAAAAAAAUAUUUAGAGGGGGCCAAAUUAUAAAUUAGGAGGGUCAAGAAAAAAUUUUAGUUAUUUUUAUUAAAUAUUUACAAGAAAGGGGCAUUUUCUUGCAGGGGCCGGGGCCCUUCCCAACCCCCUUCCCUCCGCCACUGAUUAUAGUGAUGGCAUACUUUCUAAGGAGUUUUCAAUUAUGAUAGUGAUUAUGAUUCUAAUUAAUUUUAUUUAGAUUUUAAAAAAUAAACAAUACACAAUUAAUAGCAAUGUACUAGUUACAUGACCUGCGCGAUGCCGCAGGUUAAUUUUUUUACAUAAAAAAUAUAAAAAAAAACUAAGAUUUAAAAGUGUUAGGUUUUUCUGCAAAACUAUACGCAAGAGUCUUGGGUUUGGCUGCAACGCCUGACCUAAGGAUAAUAUUUAUAAUAUUAAUAAUAACAUCAAACUUGCAUGACCCAAGUUUAAGUGAGUUUGACUGCAAUACCAAACCCAAUAGCCUUGGAUGUAGGUCUGGCUGCAAGGUCGUGUCAUAAGAGUGUGAUAAUUAAAUAGAUUAAUUAAAAUGAAAAAAACAAAGAAAAAAAACCAACAGAAAGAAAAAAAACUAAUGAAGAAAAAAAAAUCUGAAUCAAUUGGGUUAAACUGUCAAACCUGAGAUCCACGUCAUGAAAGGUUGAUAACUAAAUAGGGAAAAAAAUUAACGGGUUUACUGAGAAUUAACUGGGUUAACUUGUCAAACCCGGAAUUCGUGUCAUGAAAGUCUGAUAACUGAAUAGAAAGAAAGUUAACAUUAACAAACUAAACUAAACUAAACGGAAAAAAUUAAUUAAAAAGAAAAAAAAUCCGGGUUAACUUGUCAAACCAGGUUAACCUAUCAAACCCGAGAUCCGUAUCAUGAAAGUCUGAUAACUAAAUAAAAAAAAUUAACAAUAACAAAUUAAAUCAAACAAAAAAAAUUCAUUAAAAAAAAACAAAAAAAAUUUAAAAAAAGAGACAGUUAAGCGUUUCAUUUACUUUUAGUAUAUGUUAUAAUAUAAUAUAAUAUAAUAUAAUAAUUAUAAUUAUAAUUAUAAUAAUAUAAUAUAUUAAUAAUGGGGUAAGUGUAAAAGGCGUGGGGAAAGUAAAUUGCUAAUGGCAUAAAGUUUCACUUUGUAAUAAUAAUUGUUUUUAAUUACUUUGAUAAUUUAAUAUCCUUAAUUGACGGGAGUUUUUACUAUAAUAGAUUAUUGUAAGAAAUAUCACAUAACACAUUUUUGGAUAACUCCUCCAAAGCUUCAAAUAUUUUUUUAAUUUUAAUCUUUAAAUUCUCAUAAUAAUUAUGAGAAAUAACAUAGUUAUUAUUCAACCUUUAUUUUAUCUUCGAACUUGUCUUUACAAUUUUUAUGUUAACAUCCCCACUUAAAAUCUUCGACUACAUGCCCACAUAAUUGUUGAAUCCACUGGUUUUGUUUAUCUAAAUCAAAACAAAUCAUUAAUAAAACCCUUCAAGUAUAAUGCAUGUUGUGCUAGAAAAAAGAGAGAAGGAAAUAAAGCUUUUUGCAUGCAGGGGUGGCUGGCAGAGGCAUAAUCUGUAAAUUUUUUUCCCGUUUUCCCUUGUGAAAAAACAUUAUAACCAUCCACAGUAUUUUUUUUUAAAAAAUACAAAGCAAAAUCGACAAAGAUCAUUUUAAAAAAAAAUAAAUUCAUAAAAAUAAUAAUAAAAAAAUCAUGUAGAAAAAUAUUGUAGUAAUCCAUAAUGUUUUAAGAAAAAAACAACAGAACUAAAUUUUCAACCAAUUCAAUAUUAAAAAAAAAAGACAAUCUUGAAAAAAAAAACAAUGUAAAGCCCAAAAAAGGGAAAAAACAAAAAAAAAUUGUGGGAAAAAAACACAAAAAAAAAAUGAAAAAACAAAAAAAUGGGGAAAGUGUAAAAGGCGUGGGGAAAGUCCCCACGCCUUUUAGAGUAUUAUAUAAGAAAAAUCGACAAAGAUAAUUUUUAAAAAAAACACACAAAAAAGAGACUAUCUUGGGAAAAAAAAUGUAAAGCCUAGAAAAGGGAAAAAAAACGAAAAAAAAUGUAAAGCCUAGAAAAGGGAAAAAAAUGAAAAACAAUGUGGGAAAAAAACAAAAAACAAAAAGGAAAGCCAGAAAAAAAAAAGAACAAACAGAAAAAAAAAGAAAAAACAAAAAAAAGGGAAAGUGUAAAAGGCGUGAGGAAAGUUACAGUAUUUUCCCUACGCCUUUUAGAAUAUUACUUAAUACGAAGAUAUGAGAAUAUUAAUCAAUCAUUAAUGAUAAAGUUAAUAAUUUUAUAUAAAAAAGCAUAUUUUAGAGAUAGAUUUUGAAAAUAUUUUAACUAUAAAAUCCAAUGGAUGGAGGGAGUGGAAGUACACAAGAGAUGAAAGAAUAUCUAGCUAUUUGACCCUCAACAAAUAUAUUUUUUUAAAAAAAUGUAUUUGCAGAUUUUUACCUGUUUUUAUACAUAAAUAAAUCUCAAAUAGAAUUUAAAAAGUUUAUGAAUUCAUAUAAUUAAAUAAAUUAAAAACUAUUUAUGCAACAAAAAAAUUAUUAAGCUCGAUCUUUACUCAAUUAAAAAUUAAUAAGCUAAAUAUAUAAUCCGGGUGAUUAACUCAAUUAGAUCAAGUAAUUUUCUUGAUGAUUGUUGUAUUAUUAGAGACAAGUAGCUUGCUCCUUCUCCUCCCAACUUCAGCUUUUAGUUUGUUUAGUAGGGACGAAUUUAUAUGUUAAGCAUAAUUAUUUAAAUGAUCACACACAAUAUUUUAAAUAAGAUAAGUUGAAUAAAAUAAUUAAAGAGGCAAGCCAACAAUUCAGAACAACCAAAUGUUUAUCAAUUUAUUAAUGACAAAUCAUCACACACAGCUAGCCAAGGAAUUUAAAAGAUAAAAAAAAGGAAUUGAAGAAUGGAUAAAAAUGUGAAACUAACUAUGAUAGAUUUAAAUACUCAUCANNNNNNNNNNNNNNNNNNNNNNNNNNNNNNNNNNNNNNNNNNNNNNNNNNNNNNNNNNNNNNNNNNNNNNNNNNNNNNNNNNNNNNNNNNNNNNNNNNNNNNNNNNNNNNNNNNNNNNNNNACAAUCAAUGAUCUCAAGAUUUUGAAGUUUCUCUAAAUGGCCGAUGCAAUCUGGCAUUUCUCUAAUGUUUGGACAGUCUUUGAUGAUAAAUGUUUGUAAAGAUUCUGUAAAUCCUUGAAGAAACUGUUCUGGUAAAGCAAGAGUUGCUGGUAACAUUGCAAAUAUUACAAUACAAAGGGAAAGGAAAAGAGGUUGAAUUUUUUCCUCUUUUUCUUUUUCUAUUGUCAUUAAAUCAAGCUUUUCACAGUCAAUAAUACCAAAUUCUUCCAGAGUAGUUAAGCAUUUUAUGCUUCGAGGCAGAGAAAUCAAGCUUCCACAGCUAAUAAUAAUCAAUUUUCGAAGACUUUUAAGACCUUGCAUAUCUUCGAACAAAUUUUCUAGAUUUUCACACUCAAAGAUGAUUAAAGUUUGAAGACACUCCAAACACCCAAUCCCACCUUCUGGCAACCGCUUCUGCUUAGUAAUUACAUAUAAAAAUCUAAGGCUGAUCAUGUACCUCACAUCUUUGGGCAGCACUUCUAAUCCAAAACCUAAAACCAGAGCUUGCAAGUUUUGUAAUUUGAAAAUAGAUUUUGGGAGUCUUUUCAUUUUUGUGCUCCAAUGAAAAUGGAGAUAUCUCAAAUGUUUCAAGGCGCCAAUCCCCUCCGGAAAAGCCUCAAAUUCAGAAUCUUCCAAUAAUUCCAAAGAUCGCAAAUGCUUAAAUUCUGACAAAGAUUUCUCAAAAUCUGUUUUGCAUGUAGGCCCCACUAUACUAUCUGCAAAGACUAUUGACCGCACAUGGUGGAACUCAUUUGAAUACUUGGGGAGAGUUUUAUGAAAAAAUGAAUCAGAGUCAAGAACUGACAAAUGACGGGUCGUUUUGGAAAUAUGGUGGUUUUGAGCCAAUGAUGAUGCAAGAUCAUGCAUUAAAUCAUGCAUUUUAAAGGUAGCUGCAAACCACAUAACCUCAUAAUCUUGGAAGAAACAUCUUGAGAUCAACUCGCGCACAUAACGCAAGCCGACAUCUUCCAAGUUCUCAUUUGGAUUUGAUGAUUGAAGAAUGAGCCCAUGUGCCAUCCAAACUUGCACCAAAAGGAGAUCUAUGAACGGGUAAUCUUUUGGAAAAACCGAACAAUAAAGAAAGCAUCUUUUCAGGUGCGUCGGCAGUCUUUGAUAGCUUAUUUUCAAGGCAGGUAAAAUACCAUCUCCCUCUUCUUCCCACUUCUCACUGUCUCUCACCGAUUUCCACUCUUUUUCAUCAGUCUUACCAUACAGUUGAGUCCCCAUGUUAAUCACUGCCAGAGGAACUUGCUUGCAUUUCGCCACUAUUUCUUUCCCAAUUCCAACCAAAUUUGGAUUCAACUCCAUUUUCCCUUCCUUGAAUGCACACUUGUAAAACAACAACAAACAGUCCUCUUGACCGAGAAGACUUAGGUUGUGCGUAGUAACAGUACCCAUAAUCUCAGCAACACGUUGACUACGGGUAGUUACUAUAAUCUUACUUCCAUCAGCACCUUUUGAUAACAAAGGCUUCAACAACAACCAUUUUUGAGCAUCUUCAUUCCAAACAUCAUCCAAAAGAAGCAAGUAUUUCCUACCAUUCAAAAUUUCUUCAAGUUUUUUAUUAAGUUCACCCUCAUCCAAAUCCGCACAUCUUUCCCCAGUUGCAGAUUUAAUAAUUUUUCGUAUCACAUGUUUCAAGGAAAAUUCAUCAGAAACACAUGCCUCCAUAUUCAGUUUAAAAUGACUUUUUACAUUUUCAUCAUCACACACCGAUUUGGCAAGAGAUGUCUUCCCCAAGCCUCCCAUUCCUACUAUCGGAAGGACAAGGGGAUGUGCAUCACCAACCUUAAAAGGUGCAAUUAAAAGGUUGAUGAUGCGUUCUUUGUCUUCAUCUCUUCCGAUAAGACCGGAAAAGCUCUCAAAGGAUCGGUUCAUCUCUGUUUCCUCAUGCGAGACAUGACUACAAUCAAUA